rnacentral:rRNA from 1 species
AGUAAAAAGAUAGAAUAAUAGAUUUGAAAUAUUUAUUAUAUAGAUUUAAAGAGAUAAUCAUGGAAUACAGAAUAUAUUUUAAUUAUUUUUUAUAAUUAAGAUAUUAAACUAUUAAUA